ACUGAAAUUGUGUAUCAACUUCAUAACCUAAACACUACAAUGAGAACUAAACAUUUGAUGAAAAGAAAAUUAGAUUAAGCAAAAUUAAUAAGUCUAUAAAAAAAAAAGGACCUUUUCAAUGUUACAUAAGAAUUGUGCAUUGAAUAGUGUGUGCAAGAGUUAGGUUUCAAGCUCAGCCUUUUACUGGCUAUAGACCUUGAACAGGCUGUUUUGGAAUCAAAUGAGAUAAUACCUGCAAAAGGCUUAGCAUAGUGCAUGGAACUUAAGUCAAUAAAUGUAGCUGUAAUUAUCUUUAUUAUGCAUCAAAAUUUAAAAUUUCCUCUUUUUACUUUAUGUAGAAUUAUUUACUCUAACAAUAUGGACUGGUCUUUUCCUCCAAAGUACACGUGUAUUCAGGAGAGACUUUCUCAAACAAAAAGAAGUACUACAGGAACUGAAUACGAUUGAACUUAGUGGAUGAAAGCACAGAAUGUUUGUGUAUCGAAUGCUCCAUUAAAAA